GAGCUCCCUUCGGCAGCAUAUAUACUAAAACUGGAACUAUAGAGAAUAGACUAGCAUGGCCCUUGGCAGGAUGAUGUGCAAAUUCAAGAAGCAUUGCAUUUCGGG
rnacentral:snRNA from 1 species